rnacentral:rRNA from 1 species
CCCUUAGAUGUUCUGGGCCGCACGCGCGCUACACUGAUGAAUUCAACGAGCUCCUAACCUAGGCCGAAGGGUCCGGGUAAUCUUUGAAAUUUCAUCGUGAUGGGGAUAGAUUAUUGCAAUUAUUAAUCUUCAACGAGGAAUUCCUAGUAAGCGCGAGUCAUCAGCUCGCGUUGAUUACGUCCCUGCCCUUUGUACGCACCGCCCGUCGCUCCUACCGAUUGAAUGGUCCGGUGAAAUGUUCGGAUCGCGGCAAAUCGGACGGGUAACCGUCAGGUUCGCUGCGAGAAGUUCAUUAAACCUUAUCAUUUAGAGGAAGGAGAAGUCGUAACA